rnacentral:misc_RNA from 1 species
CUUUAUUUUCUGAACCAUAAAAAAAGAAAAAAAAACUCCUCUUCAGUGCAGUCUUCUCUACAGAAUCAAAACCAGGCUGCUACUGAAACCCCUAUCUACAUUUCAUUUCUUGCGAACCUGAAUCCUUUCCUCUAUAAGACCCUAAAGGAGGAGGAUUGGCCUGCAAUUUCUCCGAUCCGGUUGUCCGCUCAAUGUUCAACACCGGGAGCAACUCUCCCCAUGGAAUUCCUCUUUCCAGCGGCGGUGGAGGAUUCUGGUGGGCAUUAGCAGCUCCUAACUCUACAACAGCUUUAGCCGUCACGGCCUUGGCUGGAAUCGCCGUUUUUGUCACUGUAUUCUGCGCGACCAGUUGGUAAUCAGUGAAGGGAAAAAAAAAA